CUACAAUGCUGCAUGGCCAUUUCCUUCUUUUACGUCAAAUCAGUCUGUCCAAGUGUAGAAACAGGGCAAGCUGAAUUAUUUGGCCAAACUCGUCCAAUGCAUGUGCCCGCUUGCCACAUUUUGUGGGCCUUUCUUUGCCAUAUUAUAUUAUUGUUUAAGUUAACGUAUUAUAAUUUUAAUUUAUUAAAUAAUAUUUAAAUUGUAAUUACUUAAAUUAAAAUGAUUAAUUCUUAAGAAAAUUAAUAUUAAAAUAAAAUACAUUCAACUGAAUUAAAAACAAUAAAUUAAAAACAUUACACAAGGAAACAAACAAUUAAAAAUAGUACAAUAAGAAACUAACGACUAUUAUGGAACUGCGAGAUGUGCUCAACCAAGUCAUUUUGUAGCUGACGAUGUGUCCGUUUAUCACGCAUUUGUAACGUAUUUUGGAUAUACCUUUCAUACGGGAUAAAGGGUUCUUCACCUAAAUUUGGUUGAGAUAAACCAUUUGUUGCAUCAUCAUAAAUUGGUAAAGGACCAAAUUGCGUGGCAUAAGUGUCUCUCUCGUCUUCAACAAUCAUAUUAUGCAUUAUAAUUCGGGGUUUGAGAAUUGAAAUUAAAAUUUUGUGUGUUUGGGAAAAAAGGAUUUGGAUAUGGAUAUGGAAAUUGAGGGUUUGAAUUUUGAGAAUUUGUAGGAGGAGUGUUGUUUGGAUUCAUCUUUUGAUCUAAUUUUUUGGAGAAAU
rnacentral:lncRNA from 1 species